CCUACGGGUGACAGCAGUGGGGAAUAUUGGACAAUGGGGGGAACUCUGACCCAGCGACGCCGCGUGAGUGAAGAAGUAUUUCGGUAUGUAAAGUUCUAUGAGGAGGGAUGAAAGCAAUGACGGUACCUGAAUAAGAAGCCACGGCUAACUACGUGCCAGCAGCCGCGGUAAUACGUAGGGGGCAAGCGUUAUCCGGAUUGACUGGGCGUAAAGGGAGCGUAGACGGCGAUGCAAGUCGGCGGUGAAAUGCCGGGGCUCAACCCCGGGACUACCUUGGAAACUGUAUGGCUAGAGUGCAGGAGGGGUAAGUGGAAUUCCUAGUGUAGCGGUGGAAUGCGUAGAUAUUAGGAGGAACAUCAGUGGCGAAGGCGACUUACUGGACUGUAACUGACGUUGAGGCUCGAAAGCGUGGGGAGCAAACAGGAUUAGAUACCCGAGUAGUC
rnacentral:rRNA from 1 species